UACGGAGGGUGCAAGCGUUGUCCGGAUUUAUUGGGUUUAAAGGGUGCGUAGGCGGGUAAGUAAGUCCGUGGUGAAAUCUCUGAGCUUAACUCAGAAACUGCCGUGGAUACUAUUUGCCUUGAAUAUUGUGGAGGUGAGCGGAAUAUGUCAUGUAGCGGUGAAAUGCUUAGAUAUGACAUAGAACACCAAUUGCGAAGGCAGCUCACUACACAAUCAUUGACGCUGAGGCACGAAAGCGUGGGGAUCAAACAGG
rnacentral:rRNA from 1 species